rnacentral:lncRNA from 1 species
GAUUUAGAUAUGUGCAUAAUGUCUAUCCUUAGGCAAACACAUUUUGAAGGGAAAUAAGUGGGCAGAUUUUUGUUGUUAUUCAAUAGAAAAAAACUUUAGAAAGGGGGUGUUUUCACCCAAUAUCUGGGCAAAAUGCCCCCUGAAGAUUAGUGUGUUAAAAUCCAUUUUAUUUAGUCAUUUUUUGGUAAUUGACUCCUAAAAGCUAAAGUCUGGGUAUCUUAUAUUAAUUAAAUAAAUCAAAUAUCAGAACAAAAUUACAUUGCACAUCUCACUAUUAAUAUCCUCACUAUAUUGAGGUUUUGAUGUAAGUCAAUGGUACAUUUUAUAUUAAAUUUACAUUUGUUCCCUUCCUGUCCAUAUCAUCCUAAAGUUUCUCAAUUGAUUGUGUAACUCAAAGAAGUUACUUAUAGAUUAUUUGAAAAAUGCUAAUAUACAGUGCAUAAAAACAGAAAUAUCACAUUUACAUAAGUACUCAGACACUUUACUCAGUACUUUGUUGAAGCACCUUAGGCAGUGAUUACAGCCUCGAGUCUUCUUGAGUAUGACGCUACAAGCUGGGCACAUGUAUCUGGGUUUCUCUCAUUCUUCUCUGCAGAUCCUCUCAAGCUCUGUCAGGUUGAAUGGGGAGCGUCGCUGCACAGCUAUUUUCAGGUCUCUCCAGAGAUGUUCGAUCGGUUGAAGUCCGGGCUCUGACUGGGCCACUCAAGGACAUUCAGAGACUUGUCCCGAAGCCACUCCUGCGUUGUCUUGGCUGUGUGCUCAGGGUCAUUGUCCUGUUGGAAGGUGAACCUUUGCCCCAGUCUGAGGUCCUGAGUGCUCUGGAACAGGUUUUUUCUCUGUAUUUUGCUCCGUUCAACUUUCCCUCGAUCCUGACUAGUCUCCCAGUCCCUGCCGCUGAAAAACAUCCCCACAGCGUGAUGCUGCCGCCACCAUGCUUCACCGUAGGGAUGGUGCUAAGUUUUCUCCAGAUGUGACGCUUUGUUUUCAGGCCAAAGAGUUCAAUCUUGGUUUCAUCAGACCAGAGAAUCUUGUUUCUCAUGGUCUGAGAGUCCUUUAGGUGUCUUUUGGCAAACUCCAAGCGGGCUGUCAUGUGCCUUUUACUGAGUCGUGGCUUCCAUCUGGCCACUUCACCAUAAAGACCUGAUUGGUGGAGUGCUGCGGAGAUGGUUGUCCUUCCGGAAGGUUCUCCCAUCUCCACAGAGGAAUUCUAGAGCUCUGUCAGAGUGACCAUCGGGUUGUUGGUCACCUCCCUGACCAAGGCCCUUCUCCCCCGAUUGCUCAGUUUGGCCAGGCUGCCAGCUCUUGGAAGAGUCUUGGUGGUUCCAAACUUCUUCCAUUUAAGAAUGAUUGAGGCAACUGUGUUCUUGGGGAUCUUCAAUGCUGCAGAAAUGUUUUUGUACCCUUCCCCAGAUCUGUGCCUCGACACAAUCCUGUCUCGGAGCUCUACGGACAAUUCCUUCAACCUUAUGGCUUGGUUUUUGCACUGACAUGCACUGUCAACUUGCACUGACAUGCACUGUCAACCUUAUAUUGGCAGGUGUAUGCCUUUCCAAAUCAUGUCCAAUCAAUUGAUUUUACCACAAGUGGACUCCAAUCAAGUUAUAGAAACAUCUCAGGGAUGAUCAAUGGAAACAGGAUGGACCUGUAUUUCAGUUUUUUAUUUUAAUACAUUUGUACAAAUUUCUACAAAUCUGUUUUCACUUUGUCAUUGUGAGUUAUUGUGUGUAGAUUGAUAAGGGAAAAAAAAUAUUUAAUACAUUUUAGAAUAAGGCUGUAACGUAACGCAAUGUGAAAGAAGUCAAGCGGUCUGAAUACUUUCCCGAAUGCACUGUAAAUGCCGUAUAUUUGAUGUUCCGAACACAUUCUGUCCCUUAUCAACAAGAAUGAAAAUAGUCAAGACAACUAGCUUAAUUGAGCCUCCGCCAUGUAUAUCUUAAUACUUUCCGAAUGCACUGUAGGUACCAUUGACUUGCAUUGAUUGCCCUGGGGGCAUUUUGCCCCCACUGUUUUUGCCCCAAACAUACUCACUUUAAAUAGUACUACUUUAUUAAAAAUCAUAUUUCUCUAUUAUUAUUCAAUUAUGUAAGCAAUAAGGCAUGGGGGGGGUGAUAUAUGGCCAAUAUACCACGGCAAAGGGCUGUUCUUAGGCACUAUGCAAUGCAGCCCUUAGAGGUGGUGUAUUGGGCAUAUACCACAAACCCCUGAGGUGCCUUAUUGCUAUUAUAAACUGGUUACCAAUGCAAUUAAAACAGUAAAAAAAAAAUGGGGAAUUGUCAUACCCCUGUAUACGGUCUGAUAUACCAUGGCUUUCAGCCAAUCAGCAUCCAGGAGCCAAGCUACCUGUUUUAUAAUUAUCUUUAGGCUCCCCUACUGGAAUGUAUUUUUUUUUUUUACGUGUAUAGAUCUAACAUUUCUUAAAAUUGACAGAAAACAGAAUAUCAUAUUAUAGACUGGACAAAAAUCUAAACGUAACAUGCAACAAUUUCAAAGAUUUUACAUUUACAGUUCAUAUAAGGAAAUCAGUCAAUUGAAAUAAAUUCAUUAGGCCCUAAUCUAUGGAUUUCACAUGACUGGGAAUACAGAUAUGCAUCUGUUGGUCACAGACCUGAGGAAAAUUUACUUUGGACUGCUAUGCUACAACCCACAUGAAAAAUACUAUAGUAUUCCUGUACUGUUUUUGCAGACUACUGUAUUUACUUCAUUGUCUUUGUUUGAUUAUCUUUGACAUAGAAGGUUUCACCUACAGAAGAAAUAACGAAAGAGUACAUUUUCCAUAACCUGUAGGUAGAACUGGGGUCUGACCAGAUAGCUCAGCACUUCUGCUGUUUUAUAUAACAUUUAGAGAACACAAUAUAUGGAGUAUAUUUGGCAUGAAGGUUUCUCAUUUAUGGGUGGCACAAAUGAGGAGGGGAAUGGGAAGGGAAUAUGUAAAUGAAAUACUGUAGCAUUGACUAUAGUUAAAAAAGUAGAAUUCUAUCGUUAGUACUGUAGUAUUCUAUUGUAAACUGUAGUAAUUCAUGUGGGAGGGUGACAACACAACAGCAGUUUUUCAAACAGCAGUAGUCCCAAAGUAGUGAUAGGAAAUGUAACACAGAAAGCUAGCUCAGUGCAAUUAUUAACCUUAUCACUAUUGAAAUUGCCUCACUGCAAUUUAAAGGGACAAUACACUUCAAAAUCGAAGUUUGUCCUAUAUUUUCAGACCUCACAAAUGAUCUUCUGUUUAAAUAAAUCCAUGUGCCAGACCAUUUGUUUUAUACAUCCAGUUAUAUAGCACAACCCAAUAUGAAUGGAAAAGAUAAGCACAAAAAACCUGGAAAUAAUAUGGUGCUUAUCUUUCCAACUCAGAUGGGUUUGCGGUGGCAAAAAAUACUUUUGAGGUUUAAAAAUAUUUGAGAAACUUUGAUUUAGGAGUGUAAUGUCCCACUAACUAGAUACAUCUGCAUAGAUAAAUAACUGGCAUGUUCUCAUAUCCAGCGAAUUUAAAAUGUUUUGUUGAGAAUCUUGAAUGGCACCAUCCAUCUGGAAGUCAUAGAGGAAAUUUGUAGCUAGGACUUGAUCAACUGCUAUCAUAUGGGCCACCGACUUGAUAUACGGCUGGUAGGUCCAACUAAACAGUUUCACAUGUCUCCGGCAGAGAUUCUCCGUUGCGCAUCAGUCAUCUGGGCAAUUUUAGCGAUGGGCUAUGGAAGGAAAUAUGUGGGUUAGGCAAAAUUCUCUCACUGACUUUAUAUCUAGUGAUGGAUUAAUGUGUUGACAAUCAUCAGUGUCCUUUGGGAACCAGCGCACCGCUGUGGAUUGACUGAUAUGGACUCAUGACCAAAAAGUCAAGAGUUCAAAUGUUGGUUAGGAAAAUGUUAUGCUCUAAAAAAGGCUGGGUUAAAAACAACCCAAUCUGGGUAAAUAUUGGACAGAACACAUGUUGGAUUAUUUUGACCUAGCCAGUUGGCUCACAAACAACCCAUUGCUUUCUUUAAAUUGGGUUGCUGAGGCUGGGUUAUUGAGCUAUGAGCCACUGGGUCAGAUCAGAAAACUGGAUGCAUGGCUUAGUAGGGGUGUGGCUUUCAUGUAGUUAUUUUUGGCCACCCGUGAGAGUAAAUGUCAAUAUGUUCUGUUUUAUGGUCAACACAUUCAAUUCUAAUUGAAUAUUAUAUGUUAUAUGUUAUAUGUUAUAUAUUACUGUAAAAAAUUAUCACAUUCGUUGUGUAUAAUCAUAUAUUUUGAUACAUUGAAUGUUAGUUUCACAAUAUUAUGUUAUACAUUUUGUACCUCCUGUUUCAGGAAGUGAUGUCACUGAGUACUGCCCCAAUAUAUAGGACCUUCCACCCCCACCUGGGAUAUGGAUGCCUGAUGAAGACCUAAAGGUCGAAACGUUGUUAUAAAUAAAUAUCACCUGCGAGCAUGAGCAGUAAUGUGCUGUGUUUUCCUUUCUGUUUUCUCUGAAAUAAAAGACCCCAGAAAUUUUUCAGAA